UCGGGAGGUACGGGAGGAGUAGAUGAGAAUGAAGUUGGCUUUGUUUUUGGUUCUGAAAUUUUUACUUUGGACUUUGAUUUUUUAGGUGAAGAGGGUUUUGGUUGAGGAGUUGAUUGGAGAUGUGAGAAACCAAAGAGUUGGUUGUAAACAGGCUGGUGAGGUCAGGGAGGUGUAUAAAAAGGUGAAUAAGUUUCAAACACUGGAGGAGGCACAGGUGUGGAUUGUGUCUGGGUGAAAAGUGUUGGACGAGUC
rnacentral:lncRNA from 1 species